UUAUAUUAGGUUGGUGCAAAAGUAAUUGUGGGUUUUGCCAUUAAAAGUAAAGGCCAAAACCACAAUUCAUUUUGUACCAACCUAAUAAA
ensembl:miRNA